UGAAUACGAGAUGCUACGGCGUCGAAGCAGUCUAUGUCAUACUUCCAAGAAAAGCUUGCACUGUCAUAAACAAAUAAUGCCUGUACCAUAACCGACACAGGUGGGUAGGUAGAGUAUACUAAGGGGCGCGAGAUAACUCUCUCUAAGGAAUUCGGCAAAAUGACUCCGUAACUUCGGGAGAAGGAGUGCCUUAUUUAUAAGGUUGCAAUAACAAGAUCCAAGCAACUGUUUACCAAAAACACAGGUCUCCGCUAAGUCGUAAGACGAUGUAUGGGGGCUGACGCCUGCCCAGUGCCAGAAGGUUAAAGAAGUUGGUUAGCAUCCGCGAAGCUGAUAACUGAAGCCCUGGUGAACGGCGGCCGUAACAAUAACGGUCCUAAGGUAGCGAAAUUCCUUGUCGGGUAAGUUCCGACCCGCACGAAAGGCGUAAUGAUUUGGAUACUGUCUCGGAGAGGGGCUCGGUGAAAUAGACUUGUCUGUGAAGAUGCGGACUACCUGCACCAGGACAGAAAGACCCUAUGAAGCUUUACUGUAACCUGAAAUUGAAAUUGGACUUUACUUGCGCAGUAUAGGUGGGAGGCGUUGAGAAUAUUCUUGCGGGAUUAUUGGAGCCAUCAGUGAGAUACCACUCUUGUAAUGUUAGAUUUCUAACUUUGUAUCAUUAUCUGGUCAAAGAACAGUUUCAGGCGGGCAGUUUGACUGGGGCGGUCGCCUCCUAAACGGUAACGGAGGCGCACAAAGGUUUCCUCUGAACGGGUAGAAAUCGUAUCUAGAGUGUAAAGGCAUAAGGAAGCUUGACUGUGAGACCUACAAGUCGAGCAGGGACGAAAGUCGGUCUUAGUGAUCUGACGGCGCUGAGUGGAAAGGCCGUCACUCAACGGAUAAAAGUUACUCUAGGAUAACAGGCUGAUCUCCCCCAAGAGUUCACAUCGACGGGGAGGUUUGGCACCUCGAUGUCGGCUCAUCGCAUCCUGGGGCGGUAGUACGUCCCAAGGGUUGGGCUGUUCGCCCAUGAAAGCGGUACGCGAGCUGGGUUCAGAACGUCGUGAGACAGUUCGGUCCAUAUCCGGUGUAGGCGUUAGAAUAUUGAGAGGAGCCUUCUUUAGUACGAGAGGACCGAGAAGGACAUACCUCUGGUGUACCAGUUAUCGUGCCAACGGUAAACGCUGGGUAGCUAUGUGUGGAGUGGAUAACCGCUGAAAGCAUCUAAGUGGGAAGCCCACCUCAAGAUAAGUAUUCUC
rnacentral:rRNA from 1 species